GUCCUUUAGAAAUUUAUUUAAGGUCUAGCCUGCCCAAUGAAUAGUUGAAUGGCCGCGAUAUUUUGAUCGUGCUAAGGUAGCAUAAUCAUUAGUUUUUUAAUUGAAAACUAGUAUGAAGGGUUGGAUGAAAAAUUUUCUGUCUCUAGUUAAAUUUUAUCAGAACUUUAUUUUUAAGUUAAAAAGCUUAAAUUUUUUUAAAAGACGAGAAGACCCUAUAGAGUUUAAUAUAAAGUAUUUAUAUAUAAUUGUAGAAUUUAAUUUAUUUAUUUAAAUUUGUAUUUAAUUGGGGUGAUUAAAAAAUUUAAUAAACUUUAAUUUUAUAAAAAUAUUAAUUAAUAAUUAUAUGAUCCAAAAUUUUUGAUUAUAAGUAAAAAUUACCUUAGGGAUAACAGCGUAAUUUUAUUAAAGAGUUCUAAUCGAAAAUAAAGAUUGCGA
rnacentral:rRNA from 1 species